rnacentral:rRNA from 1 species
GAUGAACGCUGGCGGCGUGCCUAAUACAUGCAAGUCGAGCGAACAGAUGAGGAGCUUGCUCCUUUGACGUUAGCGGCGGACGGGUGAGUAACACGUGGGUAACCUACCUAUAAGACUGGGAUAACUUCGGGAAACCGGAGCUAAUACCGGAUAACAUAUGGAACCGCAUGGUUCUAUAGUGAAAGAUGGUUUUGCUAUCACUUAUAGAUGGACCCGCGCCGUAUUAGCUAGUUGGUAAGGUAACGGCUUACCAAGGCGACGAUACGUAGCCGACCUGAGAGGGUGAUCGGCCACACUGGAACUGAGACACGGUCCAGACUCCUACGGGAGGCAGCAGUAGGGAAUCUUCCGCAAUGGGCGAAAGCCUGACGGAGCAACGCCGCGUGAGUGAUGAAGGGUUUCGGCUCGUAAAACUCUGUUAUUAGGGAAGAACAAACGUGUAAGUAACUGUGCACGUCUUGACGGUACCUAAUCAGAAAGCCACGGCUAACUACGUG